rnacentral:lncRNA from 1 species
AUGCUCUCGGGGCGCCCUGCCCCCAAGCCUGCGGCCCGGCCCGCCCCACCUCCCCGCAGCCCCCGGGCACCGCUGCAGACCAGCCGGGCUGGGAGCACCGCGGGGAGGUGCGCGGGGGGCGGGGGCGGGGACGGGCGUCCCCCGGGACGCGGGCGGUCCCAGCCCUGGGCGCGCAGUCCGCAGCGGGGCACCCAGCAGCCCCGAGGGGCUCCCCGGGCGCCCAGCUCCGACGACGGGCGAGGCGGGCGUGCACCAGCUCCGCUGCUCGGCUCGGCUCGGCCCUGCGCUGGGAACUCGGGCGGGUCCCCACCUGCUUGGGCCCCUUCCUCCUUCCUUCCACAGGAUCUUCAUCAAGAGACCAUGAUGUUCCCAGGAAGUUGGCUAACUGCAACUGGUAUAAAGAAGCUGCAACCUACUCAAAUUACAUUGCAACUUGCCAGGAAUUAAGUAAUGGUUUCCUGGAAUUGGAGAGUACCAUGUACGCAGCAAUGUUUAUCUAACACCGUGCUGAAGAGUCUGGCCUCAGCUUCUGGAGGGCCAGCGGGGUUAUUGAGA